rnacentral:rRNA from 1 species
AGUGAACGCUGGCGGUAGGCCUAACACAUGCAAGUCGAACGGCAGCACAGUAAGAGCUUGCUCUUACGGGUGGCGAGUGGCGGACGGGUGCGGAAUACAUCGGAAUCUACUUUUUCGUGGGGGAUAACGUAGGGAAACUUACGCUAACACCGCAUACGACCUACGGGUGAAAGCAGGGGAUCUUCGGACCUUGCGCGAUUGAAUGAGCCGAUGUCGGAUUAGCUAGUUGGCGGGGGAAAGGCCCACCAAGGCGACGAUCCGUAGCUGGUCUGAGAGGAUGAUUAGCUAGACGGGAAGUGAGACACGGUCCAGACUCCUACGGGAGGCAGCGGUGGGGAAUAUUGCGCAAGGGGGGAAAGCCUGAUCCAGCCAUACCGCGUGGAUGAAGAAGGCCUUCGGGUUGGAAAGCCCUUUAGGUGGGAAAGAAGAGCAGCAGGUUAAUACCCCACUGUACUGACGGUACCCAAAGAAUAAGCACCGGCUAACUUCGUG